UACGAAGGGGGCUAGCGUUGCUCGGAAUCACUGGGCGUAAAGGGUGCGUAGGCGGGUUUUUAAGUCAGAGGUGAAAUCCUGGAGCUCAACUCCAGAACUGCCUUUGAUACUGAAAGUCUUGAGUAUGGGAGAGGUGAGUGGAACUGCGAGUGUAGAGGUGAAAUUCGUAGAUAUUCGCAAGAACACCGGUGGCGAAGGCGGCGACCUGGUCCGUGACUGACGCUGAGGCGCGAAAGCGUGGGGAGCAAACAGG
rnacentral:rRNA from 1 species